UAAUACGUAGGUGGCAAGCGUUGUCCGGAUUUAUUGGGUUUAAAGGGUGCGUAGGCGGUCUAUUAAGUCAGUGGUGAAAUAUCGCAGCUUAACUGUGAGGGUGCCAUUGAUACUGAUGGACUUGAGUGAAGUCGAAGUAGGCGGAAUUGACGGUGUAGCGGUGAAAUGCUUAGAUAUCGUCAAGAACACCGAUAGUGAAGACAGCUUACUAGGCUUAUACUGACGCUGAGGCACGAAAGUGUGGGGAUCAAACAGGAUUAGAUACCCUGGUAGUCCACACUGUAAACGUUGAUGACUCGCUGUUGGCGAUAUACAGCCAGCGGCCAAGCGCAAGCGAUAAGUCAUCCACCUGGGGAGUACGCCGGCAACGGUG
rnacentral:rRNA from 1 species